rnacentral:pre_miRNA from 1 species
AAUAAGAUUAUUUUUUAGUUUUUUGAUACAAUGUUUUGACUCUUCGUCUUAUUUGAGAUUUUUUUACGAUUAAUAUUUUUAUUCUUACUAGAUGAUAAAACAUGAAUAAUACUUUAUGCGCGAUUAAUUUUUUUAAAGUUUUUUAACAAAUUUUUCAAAUAAGAAGAACGGUCAAACGUUGGACACGGAAAAAC